AGUGGGGAAUAUUGCGCAAUGGGCGAAAGCCUGACGCAGCGACGCAGCGUGAGGGACGAAGGCCUUCGGGUUGUAAACCUCUUUCAGCGGGGACGAAGCGAAAGUGACGGUACCCGCAGAAGAAGCACCGGCUAACUACGUGCCAGCAGCCGCGGUAAUACGUAGGGUGCAAGCAUUGUCCGGAUUUAUUGGGCGUAAAGAGCUCGUAGGCGGCUUGUCACGUCGGAUGUGAAAACUCGGGGCUCAACCCCGAGCCUGCAUUCGAUACGGGCUAGCUAGAGUGUUGCAGGGGAGACUGGAAUUCCUGGUGUAGCGGUGAAAUGCGCAGAUAUCAGGAGGAACACCGGUGGCGAAGGCGGGUCUCUGGGCAACUACUGACGCUGAGGAGCGAAAGCGUGGGGAGCGAACAGGAUUAGAUACCCUGGUAGUCCACGCCGUAAACGUUGGGCGCUAGGUGUGGGGAACCUUCCACGUUCUCCGUGCCGUAGCUAACGCAUUAAGCGCCCCGCCUGGGGGAGUACGGCCGCAAGGCUAAAACUCAAAGGAAUUGACGGGGGCCCGCACAAGCGGCGGAGCAUGCGGCUUAAUUCGAUGCAACGCGAAGAACCUUACCUAGGCUUGACAUAUACCGAAAACUCAUAGAGAUAUGGGGUCCGCAAGGGCGGUAUACAGGUGGUGCAUGGUUGUCGUCAGCUCGUGUCGUGAGAUGUUGGGUUAAGUCCCGCAACGAGCGCAACCCUCGUCCUAUGUUGCCAGCGGAUAAUGCCGGGGACUCAUAGGAGACUGCCGGGGUCAACUCGGAGGAAGGUGGGGAUGACGUCAAAUCAUCAUGCCCCUUAUGUCUAGGGCUGCACGCAUGCUACAAUGGUCGGUACAAAGGGCUGCGAUACCGCGAGGUGGAGCGAAUCCCAAAAAGCCGGCCUCAGUUCGGAUUGGGGUCUGCAACUCGACCCCAUGAAGUCGGAGUCGCUAGUAAUCGCAGAUCAGCAACGCUGCGGUGAAUACGUUCCCGGGCCUUGUACACACCGCCCGUCACGUCACGAAAGUCGGUAACACCCGAAGCCGGUGGCCUAACCCUUGUGGAAGGAGCCGUCGAAGGUGGGAUCGGCGAUUGGGACG
rnacentral:rRNA from 1 species